rnacentral:pre_miRNA from 1 species
GUUUUUUAGAAGAGCAGAAGUAACAGAAAAAACAGACAGGUCUGUUUUUUCUGUUACUUCUGCUCUUCUAAAAGACCC